rnacentral:ncRNA from 1 species
AAGAAACCGAUGACAGAGAGUAGUAAUCUCUUUUAUCCCACUUACAGAGAGCUGCAGGGGCUGAGAAGCAGUACCGGGGGAUUGAGAUGAAUGGACUCUGGAGGGCGCGACAGAAAGAGAGAUCGAGUAUGAAGCGACGGGAACCGCACCGUUAUCAGGCGGCGCGCAUGUCAGUGCGCGGCAGAGGGGCCGGAGCUGAUCCGGCAAGAUGAGUGGCACCGCGGAAUAUUUUUCGCCUCAUAC